UAAUACGUAGGGCGCAAGCGUUGUCCGGAUUUAUUGGGCGUAAAGGGCUCGUAGGCGGUUCGGUAAGUCGGGUGUGAAAACUCAGGGCUCAACUCUGAGACGCCACUCGAUACUGCCAUGACUAGAGUCCGGUAGAGGAGUGCGGAAUUCCUGGUGUAGCGGUGAAAUGCGCAGAUAUCAGGAGGAACACCGACAGCGAAGGCAGCACUCUGGGCCGGUACUGACGCUGAGGAGCGAAAGCGUGGGGAGCAAACAGGAUUAGAUACCCUGGUAGUCCACGCCGUAAACGUUGUGCACUAGGUGUGGGUCCCAUCCAACGGGAUCCGUGCCGCAGCUAACGCAUUAAGUGCACCGCCUGGGGAGUACGGCCGCAAGGCUA
rnacentral:rRNA from 1 species